rnacentral:rRNA from 1 species
GACAGAGGGUGCAAACGUUGUUCGGAAUUACUGGGCGUAAAGCGAGUGUAGGCGGUCUGAAAAGUCAGGUGUGAAAGCCCUGGGCUCAACCCAGGAAGUGCACUUGAAACUGUCAGGCUAGAGUAUCGGAGAGGUUGGUGGAAUUCUCGGUGUAGAGGUGAAAUUCGUAGAUAUCGAGAGGAACACCGGUGGCGAAGGCGGCCAACUGGACGAAUACUGACGCUGAGACUCGAAAGCGUGGGGAGCAAACAGG